GGCCCAUGUUGACUCUACAAGGUGUUGAAAGCGUUCCACAGGGAUGCUGGUCCAUGUUGACUCUACAAGGUGUCGAAAGCGUUCCACAGGGAUGCUGGCCCAUGUUGACUCUACAAGGUGUAGAAAGCGUUCCACAGGGAUGCUGGCCCAUGUUGACUCUACAAGGUGUAGAAAGCGUUCCACGGGGAUGCUGGCCCAUGUUGACUCUACAAGGUGUCGAAAGCGUUCCACAGGGAUGCUGGCCCAUGUUGACUCUACAAGGUGUCGAAAGCGUUCCACAGGGAUGCUGGCCCAUGUUGACUCUACAAGGUGUUGAAAGUGUUCUACAGGGAUGCUGGCCCAUGUUGACUCUACAAGGUGUUGAAAGCGUUCCACAGGGAUGCUGGCCCAUGUUGACUCUACAAGGUGUUGAAAGCGUUCCACAGGGAUGCUGGCCCAUGUUGACUCUACAAGGUGUUGAAAGCGUUCCACAGGGAUGCUGG